AACCAUAGAAACCUGCGGAGUACCUGCGGAGGGAUCAUUACUGAGUUUUUAACUCUCCAAACCAUGUGAACUUACCACUGUUGCCUCGGUGGAUGGUGCUGCUCCCUCGGGGGUGGUGCUGCCGCCGGUGGACAAACUAAACUCUUGUUAAUUUUUGGCAUUCUGAAUCAAAUCAAGAAAUAAGUUAAAACUUUCAACAACGGAUCU
rnacentral:misc_RNA from 1 species